CCUCCACCUCCACCUCCACCUCCAUCUCCAUGCAUGGGAUGGGCAGUCAAAGAAGGCUUCUCCUCCUCCUGGCUCUCCUCCUGCUGACGCUGGUCGCCGGAGAAGGCGACGGCGCACUGUCCGGCGCCGGCAGCACGGCCACGGACGACGGGGCCAAUGCCACCGACGCGAGCCCACCGGCCGGCGCGCCGCUCGACGUGCGGGCAAGGAAGUGGUGGCGGUUCCCGGCGACGGAAGGCCUCGUCACGGGCAGCGAGCGGAGGGUGCCCAACUCGUCGGACCCCCUCCACAACCGCUGAAGCGCCUGUGUCAGCCGCCUGCCAUUCGUGCUGCUUCCACCUCUGCUGUUAGUUAUACAUACGGUACCUCUGGUCGCAUGCUUUUUGGCUGCACAAUGUGGCUUGGUAUUCAGACUUCAGAGAAUUUAAUUGCGUAUACGAGAGUAAAUGUAGCUGAUUUUGGUCUAGCUGGUUUGCCGUUUCGAGCGCUUGUAAACACAAAUUCGUCGGCAGUUUACACCGUGCCGUGUGUAUAUAAAUUUCCUGAAGUCUGUGUCUUCGCUCAGUUCACAAGAGUUUCAAG
rnacentral:misc_RNA from 1 species